GACGAACGCUGGCGGCGUGCUUAACACAUGCAAGUCGAACGGAAAGGCUCCAGCUUGCUGGAGUACUCGAGUGGCGAACGGGUGAGUAACACGUGGGUAAUCUGCCCUGCACUCUGGGAUAAGCCUGGGAAACUGGGUCUAAUACUGGAUAUGACCUUUCUCCUUAUGGGGUUUGGUGGAAAGUUUUUCGGUGUAGGAUGAGCCCGCGGCCUAUCAGCUUGUUGGUGGGGUGAUGGCCUACCAAGGCGACGACGGGUAGCCGGCCUGAGAGGGUGAUCGGCCACAUUGGGACUGAGAUACGGCCCAGACUCCUACGGGAGGCAGCAGUGGGGAAUAUUGCACAAUGGGCGGAAGCCUGAUGCAGCGACGCCGCGUGAGGGAUGACGGCCUUCGGGUUGUAAACCUCUUUCAGCAGGGACGAAGCGUAAGUGACGGUACCCGCAGAAGAAGCACCGGCUAACUACGUG
rnacentral:rRNA from 1 species